UCUGGUUACAUUUAAAUGGAAAGGCUAGUUGUUUUGAAGAAUUCAUUCAUUGCUUUCCUUAUUCAACAAAUCUACACUUAGGACUUAUUGUGAGCUAAGUCCUGCUCUGCAGUUAGGGGUAGAUCAGAGAACAGAGCCAAGUUCCUGUUUUCAAGAAGCUUAUACAUCUACUAGGGAAGAAAGACACUAAACAAACAGAAAGAUAAUAUGUUGAAUGGCAAAAAAUAAUAUAAAGAAAAAUUAGAGUGUUUGGAAAUUGGAACUGAUGAGAAGAACAUGAGUUGGGCUCUCAAAAAUGGUGAUCAUGGGAGCUUAACAAUUAUGGCCAUAGCCAGAAUAGUCCGGGAGAGACAUUGCUAGCUCUUCCUUAGACCCCAUUGGCACUGGGACUCUGGAAGUUGGCUUCUGCCAGUGUGUGUACAAGUAUACACAUCUGCUUCUAUACUUUGCUCCAGAGUCAGAGUUUGGGCAGGGAAUGGCAGAAUGUAGGUCGCACACCCAGACUUGAACUUUGCAGAGAGAUCAUCUGCUCCUCUGCACCAUUUCUAACGGAAAUGUGACCCUGUCCACCCACCAAUCUUGGGUUUUCCCUAGUUUGGGGAUGUAAUUAUAAAAUUCAGGAUAAAUGAAGUUGAAUUUUAGAUAAAUGCUAGUUAAUGUUUUAGUAUAAGUAUGCUCAAAUUUAAUUGAGUGCCCUGUAGUUGUUUUUGCUAAUUCUGACAACUCUACCCCAAACAGGAAAAGUGUUGUUUGCUGACGGCCCCCAAAAUGACAAAACGCCCAUUCAAAUCCACUAAAGGAGUUGGAUGGAGAGUUUCACCAAGCCACAAAUUUUUGAGCUGAGUAUUGAGCUGGAUCUCAAGAUGAGUAGGAAUUUACCAAGGGAGAAAAAAAAAAAAAAGGAGAGAGAAGAGAGUGCUUCACCAGCAGAGAAAGCAAGCAGCAUGGACCACAGGGUCAUCAAGUGAACACUGAUGAGGCCACAACCGCACUACUGGUCCAAUGCACUGAGACGGCCAUUAGCCCAUCUGGUGAAACUGAAUGUAAGACCAGAAAGGAAUCUCGGAGGUGACAAUCUGAUUGGAAGGAGAAUUACCCACAUUAUUUUCACUUGUCGAAGGAAGAGGAAGUCUAGUAAAGAAACAGAACUGAAAGAGAGACCAAAUGGCCCUUCAUCUUCUGAGUCAUUUCUAUCAUGUUUAUUUCUCCAUUUGCUCAAUUUCUUUGAGUACACAUGAGGCUGAACUCGCAUGUCAUCAGGUUACUCACAGCUGGGCUGACUUGGGGGAUUUUACCUUUGGAUCGGAGCAUACAAAUACUUCCAUCAAUAUUCUAUUUCCCAAAGCUGCCAGACUGAGGUGAGAUGCAGUGUGAACGUGGACCCGGUGCAGCGGAUGUCGGUGCAGCCUCACCAGUCUGGAAGUUUUGUGUGGGCACUCUGCAGCAGAAUCGCCAAAUAAGAGAUACUGAAUAGUUUUGCGAGAAGAACUUGAGAGGAAAGAGGGAAGGUCGUGGCGGUGAGGAGUUUGCCCUUUCUGCAGUUGACAGCGGUGAAUAAAUUACUGGUGAGAUGAACUGGGAAAGGGUCUAGGGUUUUGUGACUGCAGGCAUAUCAAUAUUUGACCCCUGCUUCAUUAGUGUUUCUUCUCUAGGUGGAAGAGAAACGAUUCAUACAUCGGACUUUUUCAUUGUGUACUCAGGAUCAUAAAACAUAUUUGAUAAACAUUUCUGAGACCAAGUUGCUCUGAGAUUGUGUUAUCGUUACUAACUAUUCUUUGUGUAAUAGCAGAACUCGUUUUGUAAGACACAAAUGACCCUAUUCUCCUGGUCUGAAUGGAAGAUGGAGAUUUGCUCGUCACAUCCACCUGUGUAUGUUCUGUAAUUAAUAGACGAAUGCAAUGGUGAUGAAAGGAAUAAGUCUCUGUGUGUCACGACAGCAUCAGCUCUUGAUUUGUUACCAGAUAAAGAGGCAGACAGCCUCCAGUCCUGUUUUUCCUCAUCCACAAGAUGUACUGGCAAGCAAGGCCCAGUGUUUCUAUAUCCUGAUGGGAGAAGGCAAAGGUGGAGCAAUGGAGACUGCAUUUGCCCAUCCACGUUAAAUAACCAAAUCUAGAAAAAUAAUUCAAACAAUGGGUUGCAGAAACAGGACACCAGGCAGCACAGGAUACUGAUCCACAAUAGAGGAGAAACAAACAAGAACCUACAUGGGAAGAAAGUACUCCUUGCUGAACUCACCCGCAAAAGAACAUAUGUGUAAAGAAUUUCUCUAUGUGAAUAAAUAAUUUUGAUAAAACACAUCAUUAAAUGAAGAAUGAGGGCAUCUGGAAUCUUUCAUGUACCUUUUGCUUCUGUGAUGGAUAUUUAGGGGAACAUUUCUCAACGUUGCAGUUAGAACUUCGCAUCUUUGAUUCUUUUGGAUUUGGAAGGUGUCUUCUUUGAUUUCUAUAGAAUGGUCUGGUUUUCAUUUACCAGAAGGUACAGAUAGAAGAAAGAGAAGACUAUUUGGUGAAAAACUACAUGAUUCGUAAUAUUUAGAAGACAAUUUAUUCUGAUCAGCUGAAUAACCCUAAUCAAAAUGUGUGAACUCUGACAUUAUUUUGUUCUCCACUUGGAAAUGAUUUCUGUCCUUGGACCUUGAUCCACAUGUUGCAAAAGAAUAUUUUAAAAAGAGAAUAAUUACCCACCAUGCUUUGUCACAGUGUCCAUUUUUCCCACCAAGGGAAUGGCCACUGCCACCUGAGAACAGAAAAGCUCUCUUAUUUACUAACGACGUCCUUAGUUUUCCUUUGUGUCAUUUUCCCCCUUAUGUAUGUGUUUUUUACACUUCUUUGCCAUCCUGCUGUGAGGAAGAAUAGUAAUCACAUCUAAUUAGAAAAAAUUAAAAUGCUAUGACUCACAGAAA